GUGGAAAACUGCCUCUUAAAAACCCCAUUCCAGACAGUAGGAUUUUUAUCCCAAGGUUCUGUCCUGAUGUGGCCCUAUCACCCCAGGGACCCCAAAGGCAUUGAAAGGAUGAAGGAAUUGCUUCUCGACAAAACCCUGUGCAGUUGUUCUGGCAGUAUUACAGCAUUCCAGAAAUAAAAUGACAACUUUUCUUUGAUAUUUUAUUUUAUUUUACUAAGUUGACUGUAUUUGCUGAGGAAUGACUGAACCUCGAGAUCGGCCAAGUUAAAUGACACAACUGUCCCUUGAACAUACUGGGCUGCACUGGUUGGGCACCCACCUUUACUGCAUGGAUGAGAUGAAGGAUAAAUUCCUUAUCUUUGGCCUACUUUGGGUGGAGAAAUGUUAUUUAUUUUGCCAUUUAUGUUCUGUUUUCCCCUUGGAAAUGUGCUGCCAGUCUGUGCUGAAUGAAAGCCCUUACGGGACAGAAAAAUCUUCAUUCCUUUUAAAAGAAGGACUCAGUAAACAUAUUUCAGAAUAAGGUUUCUUUUGAUACUUGCUUUUCAAAUCCCUGAGUGUUUUCAUACCUCCACGAUCUUCCAUCUUCAGAGAGGUAGAAAGGGAAUUUAAAACUGCCUUUCCUUCAGCACCAAGACCCAACUGCAAAGACAGUGCUUGUCAGUGAUGGGAGAGCAUCCACGCCCAGGGAGAUGUUGGAGCAAGCCACAAAUUACAUUAAAUAAUAAUUAAAAAGAAAAUAAAACAAAAGGCACUGAAUGUUUUCAAACAAACUGGAGAAAAUGAGUUUUGUACAUUGACAGUCUGUGAACAUAAGGGGGUAAAAUCCUGCUGGCAGCAGUUUGCUGUUGGCUGUGUGGAUGCUCUGUGGUGCAGUACAGUUGUACCUUUCCUUUCCAGGGAGUGGGGAAUGCUGGCACCUUGAGCUGAGACUGAGAUGGGGGAGGCUUUUAGACCUUGUGGUUUGUUGUCCUCCACUUCAGCUGAAGUUCCCCAAUGUCAGACUGACUCCUUCCCUGACUCUCCUCAGAUGAGGUACAAAUUGGGGAUGCAAGAAGCAAUUUUGCCUGAGAAGGUCUUUGCUUCUGUGGGAGGAGAUGUGGGGGUAAAUAUUCAAAUAAGAUUUGGGUUUAGAGUCCUUAACUGCCCCACAAUUUUCAUUGGUUUGAGUUCAGCUCUUGAUCUCCACAAUAAUUUUUCAGCAUGAAAACACAGAGCACAAGAAGCAGAAGCCUUGGAAAACUGAUGACACCCAGCCUGGGAGGGAGAGAGAAAUGUCACAGGGUUUGAGAAACCAGAGCCAACAGAAAAUUAGGAGUAAAGGCAAGGGGUGGGGGCAACAAAAGAGCCAAGGCAUGAAGAUUGUCCUCAUCUGACAAAGCUUGAGGAGUUCAUGGUGGCUGAGGAAGCACAUGCCAGAGUCACCUCCAGACUGAUGGCUGUGACAGUGACCAACGAGAGUCCCGCUGCCAAUCCUGCAGGGUUGCACAGAGAAGCCUAGCAUGAGUUGGACCAGACUCUACCCUGGAGGUCCUCCAGCCAUCCCAGGAGAUCUCAUGCCCACUGUUCUCCAUACAGUGCUGUAGAACCCAAAAUACCUUCAGAUCCUGCUGAAAACCGUCAUGCUGGCAGGCUGCCACCCAGUCCUUUCACCACUUAGAGAAUUUCAAAUGUAAAAAAAGUUCCCAAUGGGCUCUGCAGGCAGCUCAGAGGAGACCCAGGCCAAGGGCUGCACAGCGUGAAGGAAACCACUGCCCUUCAGAGAGAGCUGGUCCUUAGUGGUGUGGACAGAAGCCAGCCCGUACCAAUGAGCAAUGGUUAAUGGUGCCUCCCAGGCAUUUUCCACAACGGCAGCAGACGCGCAGCCUUUGCCAAGUAGCCAACACUCAGCAUUUCCUUUCUUCUCCUGAAGACUAUUUCUGGACCUUAUAAACUUCUUCUUCCCCAUGGCUCAAUGCUCUGGCAGCAAAGUGGUGAGGACUCCCUGGGGUGGCAGAAGUGGGUGACACACAAAUGUGUGAUGCACUAGGUCUGUGAGAUCUCCAGAAGCAGGAUGAGGACACCAAGUGUGGGGAGCCCAGAAUGAGGGAAUCACUGAGCCUGUGAAGGAAUAAGAAAAAUAGAGAUAUUUCUGGGAGAAAGCCCAGAAAUUAAUACCAACUCUACUCCACUUUGGAAGGAAUGUCCUGAAGCA